AUUGAACGCUGGCGGCAGGCCUAACACAUGCAAGUCGAACGAGUGGCAGACGGGAGAGAAAUGUCUGGGAAACUGACUGAUGGAGGGGGAUAAAUUGUGGAAACGGUCGCAAAUACCGCAAAAUCUCAGCUGUGCCCAGAUGGGAUUAGCUUGUUGGUGGGGUAACGGCUCACCAAGGCGACGAUCCCUAGCUGGUCUGAGAGGAUGACCAGCCACACUGGAACUGAGACACGGUCCAGACUCCUACGUGAGGCAGCAGUGGGGAAUAUUGCACAAUGGGCGCAAGCCUGAUGCAGCCAUGCCGCGUGUAUGAAGAAGGCCUUCGGGUUGUAAAGUACUUUCAGCGGGGAGGCGUUACCCGCAGAAGAAGCACCGGCUAACUCCGUGCCAGCAGCCGCGGUAAUUC
rnacentral:rRNA from 1 species